CUGAAGGCUGCAGUUCUUGGAACAAGAUCAAACUACUUCUGCGGAACAACCGUGUUCACCCUCUGUCCUCUGAGGCAGAGGAGUCAGGAGGAGCCGGCACAUCAACCAAAUGCUGCCGUUCUAGGAACAAGACCAAACUACUUCGGAGCAACCGUAUUCACCCUAUAGUCUGAGGCAGA